rnacentral:rRNA from 1 species
CAGUAGCCGCGGGAAUACGGGGUGGGCAAGUGUUAUUCGGAAUGACUGGGCGUAAAGGGCACGUAGGCGGUGAAAAGGGUGGAAAGUGAAAGUCGCCAAAACACUGGCGGGGUGCUUUCUUGACCAUUUCACUUGAGUGAGAUAGGGGAGAGUGGAAUUUCGUGUGGAGGGAUCAAAUCCUAAGAUAUACGAAGGAACGCCAACCGCGAAGGCAGCUCUCUGGGUCCCCACUGACGCUGGGGUGCGAAAGCAUGGGGAGCGAACAGGAUUAGAGACCCCUGUAGUCCCUGUCUCUUAUACA